UACGAAGGGGGCUAGCGUUGUUCGGAAUUACUGGGCGUAAAGCGCGCGCAGGCGGUCUUCCAAGUCAGUGGUGAAAGCCUGGAGCUCAACUCCAGAACUGCCAUUGAAACUGUUAGACUUGAGUACGAGAGAGGUGAGUGGAAUUCCCAGUGUAGAGGUGAAAUUCGUAGAUAUUGGGAAGAACACCGGUGGCGAAGGCGGCUCUCUGGGACGGUACUGACGCUGAGACGCGAAAGCGUGGGGAGCGAACAGG
rnacentral:rRNA from 1 species